rnacentral:rRNA from 1 species
CGGGAUUGUGGUUAGUUUCCUUUAUUGGAUGUUAGCCACGAGAACCUGUCUAAACCUUAUCAUUUAGAGGAAGGUGAAGUCGUAACAAGGUUUCCGUAGGUGAACCUGCGGAAGGAUCA